GCCACUGUACAUCAUUACAGACCUUUAAGCAAAAGAAAUCUAGUGGGAACGUGCAGGAUGGAUUCUUGAUAAAGAUGGGACCCAAGAAGAAGGGUGUAAGCAUCUCAGUGUCAUUCACUCAGCAUCUUUUUUUUUUUGCGGUACGCGGCUCUCUCACUGUUGUGGCCUCUCCCGUUGCAGAUCACAGGCUCCAGACGCGCAGGCUCAGCGGCCAUGGCUCAUGGGCCCAGCCGCUCCGCGGCAGGUGGGAUCUUCCCGGACCGGGGCACGAACCCACAUCCCCUGCAUCGGCAGGCGGACUCUCAACCACUGCACCACCAGGGAAGCCCCACUCAGCAUCUUUUUGAACAGGUUUAGCUGACAACUUUGCUGAUUUCCACUUGCGCUCUUCCUUCGCUGCCCCUUCAGUGGAGCUGACCUUCCUCUUGGGCAUCUUGGUGGCAGGUAGGGCACGGGCUGGGUGCCUGUGGGCUGAGACACAUGAGAGCCUGUGAGAAGCUGGGCUGCCUGGCUGCUCCUCUCACCACACAAGGGUCUUUAUAAGUGGGAGGCAGGAGGAUGAGAGGAGGAGGAGAUGUGAAGACAGAAGCAAGAGGUCAGAGAGGUAUGUUGAAGGGGCCUCUAGAAGCUGAAAAAGGCACGGAAACAAUUUCUCCCCGGAAGCCUUGAGAAGAAACACAGCCGGGCUGACACCUUUAUUUUAGACUACUGAUGUCCAGAGCUGUGAGAGAGCAAAUUUGUGUUGCAUUAAGCCACUAGCUUAUGGUAAUUUGUUACAGUAGCAAUUGUUAACUAAUACAGUGGGUAAUAGGGUAACACCAGUCAUUCUGAUUUUUUUAAAUUGUUCCUAGAGGUAAGCAAGCAAUGAUCCUGCCUUGGGAAUAAUUUGGUGACAGAUGUUCAAAGCUAUCAAGACAUUUCUUUUCCUUUGUACGUGGAGGGCCUCAAAGCUUAUUUGUGCUGAACAUGGCAUAGUGCAUAAGCCUGACACUUUGACAGCACGCGCGACAAUGCUAUAUACAAUUAGGCACUUAAUACAUGUUUUGUCAGUCUUAAUAGGAAUAACAACUGAUUGUGGGUCAACUGGUCUUUGACAAAUGAACACAGGGAAUACAUGGAGCAAAGAUACUCUUUUAACAAGUGGUGCCCGAACAACUGGACAACCACUUGCAAAAUAAUAAAUACACAUACAGACUUUACACACUUUACAAAAAUUAAUUCAAAAUGGAACUCAGACCUAAGUGUAAAACAGAAAAAUAUAAAACUCCUGGAAGAUAACACAGGAGAAAAUCUAAUGACCUAGGGUUUGGUGAUGACUUUUCAGAUAUAACACCGAAGGUUCAAUACAUGAAUGAAAGGAUUGAUAAGCUGGACUUCACUAAAAUUAAAAACUUCUGCUCCGGGAACAACAAUGUUAAGAGAACGAGUAGACAAGACACAGACUGGGAGAAAAUAUUUGUAGAAAACAUAUCUAAUAAAUGAUUGUUACCCAAAAUAUACAAAGAACUCUUAAAAUCCAAUAAGAAAACAAAGAACCCAAUUAAAAAAAUGGACCAAAGACCUUAACAGACACCUUAACAAAGAAUAUAGAUAGCAGAUAAGCGUAAGAAAAGGUUCUCCACAUCAUAUGUCAUCAGAGAAAUACAAAUUAAAACAAUGAGAUACCACUACACACCAAUUAGAAUGGCCAAAAUCCAGAACACUGGCAACACCAAAAUCUGGUGAGGCUGUGGAGCAACAGGAACUUUCAUUCAUUGCUGGGAAUGCAAAAUGGUACAGCUAUUUUGGAAGAUACAUCGACAGUUGCUUACAAAACUAAACAUACCCUUAUCAUAUGAUCCAGCAAUUGUCUCCCUGG
ensembl:lncRNA